UACGGAGGGUGCAAGCGUUAUCCGGAUUCACUGGGUUUAAAGGGUGCGUAGGAGGGCAGGUAAGUCAGUGGUGAAAUCUCUGGGCUUAACCCAGAAAUUGCCAUUGAUACUGUAGGACUUGAGUACAGUUGCCGUUGGCGGAAUAUGACAUGUAGUGGUGAAAUACAUAGAGAUGUCAUAGAACACCGAUUGCGAAGGCAGCUAACGAAACUGUAACUGACACUGAGGCUCGAAAGUGCGGGGAUCAAACAGG
rnacentral:rRNA from 1 species